UAUACAUGCAAAAAUAAAAAAAAAAGGAUAGAAUAACAAAACAAGUGUUUUAUGCAAGUAUACAUGCAAAUAUUAAUUUUGGAAAGAUAUUCAGACAAAAUUCGAUAUUUAGGAAGGUAUUCAUGCAAAAAAAAAAAAAGGCUAAAAACGAUUGAUUCAUAUAUUUCUAGCAUGAAUACAGCCAAUUAAAUCAAAAAAUAACAAAUUCCAAAGCAACUCUCCUUUCCCAACCCACAGGAUGACUAGCCACAUAUGAAACCAUCCAGUCCGCAAUCCGUUUACCUAUCUGAAAACAUGCUUGGUCUGUCUGCAAAUAUUUGUUAAGCAAAAACGCUAUAAAAUGCUCGAGGACACCACCCCUUCUAUUGACCGCUGGACCAGACAACCAAAGCGAUAUGAGCAUCUGAGAUAAGAAAAAGGGAUGACAACUUGCACACGCUUUACAGAGCACGAACUAUUCACCUGCAUUACUCCCUCAAUAGUGCUUUCACCUAGUCUGACUAUUAUAUUGGUGUUAACACGUAAUUUU
rnacentral:lncRNA from 1 species